rnacentral:rRNA from 1 species
UCUCCUGGAAAACGGGUGGUAAUGCCGGAUGCUCCAGUUGGAUGCAUGUCCUUCUGGGAAAGAUUCAUCGGUAUGGGAUGGGGUCGCGUCCUAUCAGCUUGAUGGCGGGGUAACGGCCCACCAUGGCUUCGACGGGUAGCCGGCCUGAGAGGGCGACCGGCCACAUUGGGACUGAGAUACGGCCCAGACUCCUACGGGAGGCAGCAGUGGGGAAUAUUGCACAAUGGGCGCAAGCCUGAUGCAGCGACGCCGCGUGCGGGAUGACGGCCUUCGGGUUGUAAACCGCUUUUGACUGGGAGCAAGCCCUUCGGGGUGAGUGUACCUUUCGAAUAAGCACCGGCUAACUACGUGCCAGCAGCCGCGGUAAUACGUAGGGUGCAAGCGUUAUCCGGAAUUAUUGGGCGUAAAGGGCUCGUAGGCGGUUCGUCGCGUCCGGUGUGAAAGUCCAUCGCUUAACGGUGGAUCCGCGCCGGGUACGGGCGGGCUUGAGUGCGGUAGGGGAGACUGGAAUUCCCGGUGUAACGGUGGAAUGUGUAGAUAUCGGAAAAGAACA